UACGUAGGGUGCAAGCGUUAAUCGGAAUUACUGGGCGUAAAGCGUGCGCAGGCGGUUCUUUAAGACAGAUGUGAAAUCCCCGGGCUCAACCUGGGAACUGCAUUUGUGACUGUAUUGCUAGAGUACGGUAGAGGGGGAUAGAAUUCCGCGUGUAGCAGUGAAAUGCGUAGAUAUGCGGAGGAACACCGAUGGCGAAGGCAAUCCCCUGGACCUGUACUGACGCUCAUGCACGAAAGCGUGGGGAGCAAACAGG
rnacentral:rRNA from 1 species